rfam:Zootermopsis nevadensis contig14842, whole genome shotgun sequence.
GCCACGGUGGUCUAGCUGUUAGAACGCUGGCCUUGUAAUCCUGGGGUCUCGGGUGCGAUUCCUGACGGUGCCG